CUGUCCUGUUAGCCAGCAGCCGAGUUGACGGCCAAGGCCGCCGCCUCCAGCUGGUUUUAAUUGAGGGGAUGGUGCCUGUGUGCAGGACGUUGAAUACGAGCCCAUGGAGCCUCCAAUUCCAGUACUCCGGCCUGCAGGUCCAGGGAACUCCAGUACCAUUGUGGGAGGAAGAUUCACACAGACGGAAGUUAAUGAAUAAUGUGAAGAAAUGUCACACAUGUCCAGUGAGAAGAAAUGAUGUGUGCUACAGGACUUCAACUGAGGAAGGGAUGCCUGCGUGGUCAGAGGAGGCUCAUGGAAAAGGUAAAAGUGUGAAUGGUGCUCACUGGAAAGUGUGAAUGGUGCUCG
rnacentral:lncRNA from 10 species